rnacentral:sRNA from 1 species
GUCAGGCAUGGUGGCACAUGCCUGUAAUCCCAGCUACCUGGGAGACUGAGGCAGGAGGAUCACAAGUUCAAGACUAGACUGGGAAAGUGACAGAGACCCUGUCUCAA